GUAAGGAAUAUUGGUCAAUGGAGGGAACUCUGAACCAGCCAUGCCGCGUGCAGGAAGACAGCCCUCUGGGUCGUAAACUGCUUUUAUUCGGGAAUAAACCUAUUUACGUGUAGAUAGCUGAAUGUACCGAAGGAAUAAGGAUCGGCUAACUCCGUGCCAGCAGCCGCGGUAAUACGGAGGAUCCAAGCGUUAUCCGGAUUUAUUGGGUUUAAAGGGUGCGUAGGCGGCUUAUUAAGUCAGGGGUGAAAGACGGUGGCUCAACCAUCGCAGUGCCCUUGAUACUGAUGAGCUUGAAUACACUAGAGGUAGGCGGAAUGUGACAAGUAGCGGUGAAAUGCAUAGAUAUGUCACAGAACACCGAUUGCGAAGGCAGCUUACUAUGGUGUGAUUGACGCUGAGGCACGAAAGCGUGGGGAUCAAACAGGAUUAGAUACCCGAGUAGUCC
rnacentral:rRNA from 1 species